AGUGGCGACCGGGUGAGUAACACGUGACUAACCUACCUCCGAGUGGGGAAUAACUCCGGGAAACCGGGGCUAAUACCGCAUAACAUCGCGAGAUCAAAGCAGCAAUGCGCUUGGAGAGGGGGUCGCGGCUGAUUAGCUAGUUGGCGGGGUAACGGCCCACCAAGGCGAAGAUCGGUAUCCGGCCUGAGAGGGCGCACGGACACACUGGAACUGAAACACGGUCCAGACUCCUACGGGAGGCAGCAGUGGGGAAUUUUGCGCAUGGGGGAAACCCUGACGCAGCAACGCCGCGUGGAGGAUGAAGCCCUUUGGGGCGUAAACUCCUUUCGACCAAGACGAUAAUGACGGUACUGGUGGAAGAAGCACCGGCUAACUCUGUGCCAGCAGCCGCGGUAAUACAGUGGGUGCGAGCGUUGUUCGGAAUUAUUGGGCGUAAAGGGCGCGUAGGCGGUGCCACAAGUCACUUGUGAAAUCUCCGGGCUUAACUCGGAGUCUGCAGGCGA
rnacentral:rRNA from 1 species